CGCGAGGUGGAGAAGUGGUAUCUCGUUGGGCUCAUAACCCAAAGGUCGCAGGUUCGAGUCCUGCUCUCGCUA
rnacentral:tRNA from 1 species